UAUUAUGGUGGGCUGUGUGGGGGCACCGAAAGGUGCGCCGGGUCCUUUUAGCCGGUUACGCCAACCCUGCACAGUUCACCACCAAC
rfam:Escherichia phage TL-2011b, complete genome.